UGAACGCUGGCGGCAUGCCUUACACAUGCAAGUCGAACGGCAGCACGGGUGCUUGCACCUGGUGGCGAGUGGCGAACGGGUGAGUAAUACAUCGGAACAUGUCCUGUAGUGGGGGAUAGCCCGGCGAAAGCCGGAUUAAUACCGCAUACGAUCCAUGGAUGAAAGCGGGGGACCUUCGGGCCUCGCGCUAUAGGGUUGGCCGAUGGCUGAUUAGCUAGUUGGUGGGGUAAAGGCCCACCAAGGCGACGAUCAGUAGCUGGUCUGAGAGGACGACCAGCCACACUGGGACUGAGACACGGCCCAGACUCCUACGGGAGGCAGCAGUGGGGAAUUUUGGACAAUGGGCGAAAGCCUGAUCCAGCAAUGCCGCGUGUGUGAAGAAGGCCUUCGGGUUGUAAAGCACUUUUGUCCGGAAAGAAAUCCUGAGGGCUAAUAUCCUUCGGGGAUGACGGUACCGGAAGAAUAAGCACCGGCUAACUACGUGCCAGCAGCCGCGGUAAUACGUAGGGUGCGAGCGUUAAUCGGAAUUACUGGGCGUAAAGCGUGCGCAGGCGGUUUGUUAAGACCGAUGUGAAAUCCCCGGGCUCAACCUGGGAACUGCAUUGGUGACUGGCAAGCUAGAGUAUGGCAGAGGGGGGUAGAAUUCCACGUGUAGCAGUGAAAUGCGUAGAGAUGUGGAGGAAUACCGAUGGCGAAGGC
rnacentral:rRNA from 1 species